AUGGUCACGCCAAGCUCUGGCCGCCCCCGUGCUUGCAGCGCCCGCCGGGAGGCCCUGGCUGCGCACGUCGUCGUGGAACGCCAUGUGCAGGCCCGUGCUCGCGGCGCCCGCCGGGAUGGCCUGGUCGCGCCCGCGCUCAUGGUGGUGCCCUGUGGUGGAGCGCCCUCGCCGCACCUGUGCUGGAGGCGGUGUGCUAGGGCCUCGUCGCGCCGCACGCGCACAAGAAAAAUUGGGGCCCGUCACCGACGACUACCCCAGCACUACCAACGAUUUUGA
rnacentral:rRNA from 1 species